CCUACGGGGGGCAGCAGUGGGGAAUAUUGGGCAAUGGGCGCAAGCCUGACCCAGCAACGCAGCGUGAAGGAAGAAGGCUUUAGGGUUGUAAAAUUCUUUUAUCAGGGACGAAGCAAGUGACGGUACCUGAUGAAUAAGCCACGGCUAACUACGUGCCAGCAGCCGCGGUAAUACGUAGGUUGCGAGCGUUAUCCGGAUUUACUGGGUGUCAAGGGCGUGUAGGCGGGAGUGCAAGUCAGAUGUGAAAACUAUGGUCUCAACCCAUAGCCUGCAUUUGAAAAUGUACUUCGUGAGUGCUGGGGAGGCAAUCGGAAUGCCGGGUGUAGCGGUGAAAUGCGUAGAUAUA
rnacentral:rRNA from 1 species